GGAUGGUGCUGGGGGAGGGGGUCAGGUGGGGAAGGUCCCCAGGGCGGGUCCCCCGUCCAUCCCCGACCCCGGGACAGCCCCGUGUCCUGCAGGUGGUGCACUGUGCGCUCCAGUGUGCCUACUGUGCACUCCUCUGGCAGAUCGUGGCGGCCACACAGCCGCUGCUGCCCCAGGUGGCGGGGGACCUGGUGGAGGCGUCCGUCAUCCUGGGGGCCGGCCUGGGCUCGUUGGCUCUCACAGGAGGGCUGACUUGGGCCAUCGCCCACACUGCCACGUGGCCGGUCCACCGAUCGUGUGGGGUGAGAUUCAAAUAAUCUCUGAGCGCCUGCCCCCGCCCCGCCCCGAGCGCUCCCUGGUCUGGUGACAGUUCUGUGGGGUGGCAGUGUGGACCUCCGAGGGUCUGGUCCUGGAGUCUCGUUUGUUAUUGUUUGACGUCCCAGCUGUCGGGCUCGGUCAGGAGCUGGUGGGAGGAGCAGCCUCCGCGUGUCCCUCAGGGUCUCAGGAAACAGACGCGCAGAACACGGCCGUCGGGAGAUUGAUUUGGAGGUUUGGCUCGCUGGCCUGUGGGCUGGGUGUCGGAAAUCCGAGGGCAGCCGGGUCUCGGGCGGGUUUCUCUGUCCUGGUCUGGAGGCAGAAUCUCGUCCCGAGACCUCAGUCUCUGCUGUUUGGCCCUCACUUGAUUGGACGAGGCCCACCCUCAUUACUGAGGUCAUCUCCCUGACCUCGGGUCCGCUGGCUGCAGGUUAACCUCGUGCACACGGCACCUUCACAGCAGCCGCCACGUGAGCCCCGGGCACCGUAGCCUGUCGGCAUGAGCACACAGGACUGACCCGCUCACUCCCCACACGCCCUUUGUCCUUAGAGGGUGUGUUUUGUCACGUCUGGCCUGAGGCAGCCCUGGAGCUGCACCCUGCUGUGCUGGGACCUGGCGUCUGGGUGGCGCCCAUGGCACAACACGGGUUUGCGGUCAGUUUGUCCAUCCACCAUCGCCUUCCGGCCAGACCAACUUCUACCCACGUUCACCGACUGGAGAACCGAGCUCUGUCGCAUCAGGGACUCGCCCAGGUCUGUGGCCUGGUGGGGCCCCGGGUCCCAAGCCCAUGGCGCGGCUGUUGGGAUGGCCUCCCUCACCGCCUCCGUCAUCGCAUGGCCCGUGUGUGUUGGACAGAUGGCCGGGCAGAGCCAGUGCAGGCGGGCGGGUACAUCACGCACAUGCUAACCUCUGAGGCGGUGCCUGCGCUCCCGCUGACGGGGCUCCUGGGCUUCAGGGAGAGGCUGCUCAAGGCCUGACCUGGCUGCCGCAUGGGCCUGAACCACCAGAGUGGGGCGCUGAGCGAGAGGGGGUCUGUCACGCUCUCUGUCCUGGCCGGGCCGUCCCCAGGGUCAGAGGAGCAAGAGGCGGGAAGGUGAAAGUGCCCCGUGCGUGGGAAAGUCGGGGUGUGUGGUGUUUUACGUGACGGCGUCUACACAUCUUACACGGGUGUCAGACGACGGCGUCUUUCCCCGAACGCUGAGAAGGAAUUGUGUGAACGUCCCAUUUGCACAGCCACAGCCCACCCUUUAGACGUCUGUGGGGUUGAUGGACACGCUCAGAGUUCAUGCUGGAACUCGGCUGGUUGUUCCCGUGGAUGAAAUGUUGACGGGUCAAUCUCGUGCCAGGGAUGAAGCUUUUUUUUUUUAUUUUUGAGGAAGAUUAGCCCUGAGCUAACAUCUGCUGCCAAUCCUCCUCUUUUUGCUGAGGAAGACUGGCCCUGAGCUAAGAUCAUGUCCAUCUUCCUCUACUUUAUAUGUGGGACAUCUACCACAGCAUGGCGUGCCAAGUGGUGCCAUGUCCACACUCGGGAUCCGAACCAGUGAAUCCCAGGCCACCAAAGCAGAACGUGCAAACUUAACCGCUGUACCACCGGGCGGGCCCUGGAAUGAAGCUGUUCUGAGCGCUUUGCGGCUCGGGGCGAGUCACUCAGUUUUCUGCCGUCCUCCAUGCACCAUGAGGAGCUGCUGCUUUGCACAGCAAAUUGGGCGUCAAUUUAAAAAGGAGCUUUUACCAAUAUCUUAGAGAAAAAAUGUCUCAUUUGGUGGAUGUUUGAUUACUAGGGGGUCAAGGGUUUGGGCAUUUUCUCUGGGAUCGCCUGUUAUGCGUGUGCUUUGGUCCUUUUUUGUUCGUUUGUACGUUUCUGGUUCACAGCCACAGUGCCGGCCUCUCUCCUGCAGACGUUUCCCCAGUUCAUCGUUUGUAUGUUGUGUUUGUUGUUUGCACAUCGUAUGCAUGUGUGUUUGUAUGUUUGCGUGUUGUAUGUAUGUUGUGUGUUUGCAUCUUGUGGCAACUUAAAAAGCAAAUUUGCCCGUUAUUUUAUCUCAAAAUGAGUCUGUUCAGGAAUAGACCAAAGAAUUGCAACUCAGGACGUGCGUGCUGUGGAGAACCACAGGCAAAUCCAGAGAACGGGGGAGCUGCCUUUACAGAGAAAGGGGGAGGGCGGGGCCGCUCUGAAGAAAGGGCCAUCCGAAGAGGGACGGACCAGGGCGGGAACGGCUCCGCAUUGGCUCAGCUGUUUCUGAUUGGCUGAGCUGUUUCUCAUUGAGCUGUAGUGUUUCUGAUUGGCUGAGCUGCAGUGUCACUCAUUGGCUGAGCUGUUUCUCAUUGGCUGAGCUGCGGCACUUCUGAUUCGCUGGGCUAUGCCGGUUUUCAUUGGCUGGGCUGUUUCUGAUUGGCUGGGCUGUGGUGUUUCUGAUUGGUUGAGCUGUUUGUCCUUGGCUUAGCUGCGGCAUCGCUGAUUGGCUGGGCUGUUGCCGGGUGGGGAGAGCAUCUUCCCUCCAUGCCGCAGCGGUACUUCCCAUUGGAGACGCGAGCCCGGAUGUCUUCCUGUCUGGGGUGAUUGACAGGGGAGGGCGUGAGGCCCCCCCCCCCCCCCCCGCCCGCAGGCCGUCCCCGUCCAGCUCAGCUCAGGUUUUUUUAGUCACUUUGGCAGUUGUGUGUGUUGUUCGCACAUACAUGUUGUGUGUUUGCGUGCCAUUGUGCCCGUCACCUCGUGUCCUGGCGUUGCAUAGCAGGUCCUUCGACGUCAGUAAAUGUCCCCCAUGUUUCGUUUGCACCUUCCUGCUUGUGGAAGGCCUGGGGGUGCUGGUCCACUGGGUCCUGGGGGGCUGCGGGGGGUGGGGGCGGGAUCUGUCCUCUUAGGGUGGGUGGAUGCCCCUCACUGCCCGCCGGGCCUUCCUCCUGCUCUGCGAUCUGCUGCUGAUCCUGAGCCGCCAGGGCCCGGCCAUGUCCUGCAGAGCACGCUGGUCGCCUUCCUCAAGGAGCACGUGCUCCUGGACGAGGCGGGGCCACAGUCGGGCCUGGGGCAGGAGGGGGAGCCGGAGGCGCGAGGCGGCCUGGGCCUUGAGGGCUGCUCUCCCGCGGCCCGUGGGGUGCGCCGCCUCCCUGGGUCUCUGAGCUGCGUCCCCUGUCCAUCCACCGCGGUGUCCUCUGGGUUCAGGCUGCUGCACAAGGUUCACGGGGGGCCGGGGUCUGGGGGACUCCACCUCGGGGGUGGAAUUGGG
ensembl:lncRNA